GAUACACUUAAGGACUUGGUGAACUACUUGACAUCAUCCCAACAAGAAGGGCGCCUCUUCUUCUGAGCUUUCCUGGAAUAAUACUGAAGGUUUCAUGCUACCGAGCAAGUGAUGGACCUGCUCCUCAACAGGUACCGCUCUUCAGCUGUGAAAUGUGAGCAGAAGGAACCAACGGAGAAGUGAGUCAGCUUCAAGCUAAGAGAUAGGGGUUGUCUAAAGAGUGAUAUCUCUGCCAGCAACAUGUGUCUUUCUGUUCCUGGAAUCCGAGACCAUCUGAGCAGUAUUUUCUGAGCUGGUAGAAUACAGGGCAAGGCAGAACCAGCUUGUGCAACAGACAAAGAGAACAAAGAAGCCACCAGCUCUGAACACAGCCCAGCCAGCUCAUCUGGGUGUAGAACACAUGCACUAAUUCAGCCAGGAUUCCGGAGUCACCUCUUGAGUUUUCUGUGCACCAGCUAGAGCAUCAUUCUCUGCCCCUGGA